rnacentral:rRNA from 1 species
CAAGAGCGUAUAUUAAAGUUGCUGCGGUUAAAAAGCUCGUAGUUGGAUUUCAGUCUAGGAAGGUUAACUCGCCGAAAGGUUGUACGUUGAUUUUCCUCAGACUUCGUCAGAAGCUCGUGCUGCACUUAACUGUGUGGUACGAUGUUCUGACCUUUUACCUUGAGGAAAGUAGAGUGUUUCAGGCAGGCUACCCAGCUUGAAUACAUUAGCAUGGAAUAAUGAAAUGGAUCUCGGUUCGAUUUCGUUGGUUCUAGAGCUGAGAUGAUGAUCAAUAGGAACAGGCGAAGGUAUUCGUACUUGAGAGUGAGGAGUGAAAUCCGAUGAUCUCUUAAAGACGAUCCGAGGCGAAAGCAUUUGUCAAGGAUGUUUUCAUUGA